rnacentral:rRNA from 1 species
AUGGCCCAACUCACUUCUGCAAGGUCAUCCUUGCACCGAAGCUUGAGUGCAUCCCCAUGCCCCUUCACCAAGCACUUUGUCGCGGUGCCGAUGGAGUUCAAGCUCAGGAACAACACCGACUGCUCCUGGAAGGUGACGGUCAAGCUGAUGAACGGCAGGGUGACCCUGGAUCAGGGUUGGGCCACCUACGCAGCCGUUCAUCAGAUCAAGAUCGGCUACAUGGUGACGUUCAAGCUCCUCACUCCCGACACCCUCAAGGUCAUCAUCUUUGACGACGAUGGCAUUGAGGUCGUCAACAAGUGCGGGAAGCACGACGAAGCCUUCACCGCCAAGGAGUAG